CGUGCUUAACACAUGCAAGUCGAACGAUGAAGGAGGAGCUUGCUCCUCUGGAUUAGUGGCGAACGGGUGAGUAACACGUGAGCAAUCUGCCCCUGACUCUGGGAUAAGCGCUGGAAACGGCGUCUAAUACCGGAUACGAGCCGAGCAGGCAUCUGCAGCGGCUGGAAAGAACUUCGGUCAGGGAUGAGCUCGCGGCCUAUCAGCUAGUUGGUGAGGUAAUGGCUCACCAAGGCGACGACGGGUAGCCGGCCUGAGAGGGUGACCGGCCACACUGGGACUGAGACACGGCCCAGACUCCUACGGGAGGCAGCAGUGGGGAAUAUUGCACAAUGGGCGAAAGCCUGAUGCAGCAACGCCGCGUGAGGGACGAAGGCCUUCGGGUUGUAAACCUCUUUUAGCAGGGAAGAAGCGAAAGUGACGGUACCUGCAGAAAAAGCACCGGCUAACUACGUGCCAGCAGCCGCGGUAAUACGUAGGGUGCGAGCGUUAUCCGGAAUUAUUGGGCGUAAAGAGCUCGUAGGCGGUCUGUCGCGUCUGCUGUGAAAUCCCGAGGCUCAACCUCGGGCUUGCAGUGGGUACGGGCAGACUAGAGUGCGGUAGGGGAGAUUGGAAUUCCUGGUGUAGCGGUGGAAUGCGCAGAUAUCAGGAGGAACACCGAUGGCGAAGGCAGAUCUCUGGGCCGUUACUGACGCUGAGGAGCGAAAGCGUGGGGAGCAAACAGGCUUAGAUACCCUGGUAGUCCACGCCGUAAACGUUGGGAACUAGAUGUG
rnacentral:rRNA from 1 species